rfam:Zootermopsis nevadensis contig10629, whole genome shotgun sequence.
UGCACGGUGGUCUAGCGGUUAGAACGCUGGCCUUGUAAUCCUGGGGUCUCGGGUUCGAUUCCCGGCGGUGCCC